rnacentral:rRNA from 1 species
CGGCACGGGUGAGUAACACGUGAAUGAUCUACCUCCGAGUGGGGAAUAACUGAGAGAAAUCUUAGCUAAUACCGCAUAAUACCCACGGGUCAAAGCAGCAAUGCGCUUGGAGAGGAGUUCGCGGCCGAUUAGCUAGUUGGCGGGGUAAUGGCCCACCAAGGCGAUGAUCGGUAUCCGGCCUGAGAGGGCGCACGGACACACUGGAACUGAAACACGGUCCAG